UUAAAUAUUUAAAAAUAGCUUGGGGAAUGGGGAAAGGGCAAUUAAAACUAAACUCUGACUCGGUCCUCCAGAUGGGCUAUGGCCGGGAAGAGGUCAGGGAGCAAGGGGGCCACGGGGAUCCGGGGCGUGGGGCUCGGGGCCAGGCCAGAGUCUUAGGUAUCCGUAGCGCCCUCCUUCUUCCUCCUCUUCGCUGAAUACAACUCACGGUAAGUACUGGUUCACACAGUUCGUUCUCGGGGUGCUCACUCUCUUUCUCUUCCUCCACAGGCAACGGCUGGGACGCAAAGGCACAGCUAAUUCGGCUUGGUUUUGCUCUCACCUCUUCACUGAUUUCAGCUCACAGUAAGUACUGGUUCACACAGUUCGUUCCUUGGGUGCUCACUCGCUUUCUCUUUCUCCACAGGCAGCAGCGUAAGUACAGGUUUCCUCUGUCUCUCCUCGUGUUACCCACUCUCUCUCCUUUUUUUUCUCUCCACAGGUAUCAACUUGGGCACAAUAGCACAGUUAGUUUGCUUUGAAUGGCUCUCACCUCUGGGCUGGACACAGCGUACUGUAAGUACAGGUUUCGCUCUAUUUCUCCUCGCGUUAUCCACUCUCUCUCCUCCUCUCUACAGGUAUCAACUUGGACACAAAACACAGUUACUCUGCUUUGGAUGGCUUUCACCUCUGGGCUGGACACAACGUACUGUAAGUACAGGGUUCGCUCUAUUCCUCCUCGUGUUAUUCACUCUCUCUCUCCUUUUCUCUCCACAGGUAUCAACUUGGGCACAAUAGCACAGUUAGUUUGCUUUGAAUGACUCUCACCUCUGGGCUGAACACAGCGUACUGUAAGUACAGGUUUCCUCUGUUUCUCCUUGUGUUACUCACUCUCUCUUUCCUUUUCUCUCCACAGGUAUCAACUUGGGCACAAUAGCACAGUUAGUUUGCUUUGAAUGGCUCUCACCUCUGGGCUGGACACAGCGUACUGUAAGUACAGGUUUCGCUCUAUUUCUCCUCGCGUUAUCCACUCUCUCUCCUCCUCUCUACAGGUAUCAACUUGGACACAAAACACAGUUACUCUGCUUUGGAUGGCUUUCACCUCUGGGCUGGACACAACGUACUGUAAGUACAGGGUUCGCUCUAUUCCUCCUCGUGUUAUUCACUCUCUCUCUCCUUUUCUCUCCACAGGUAUCAACUUGGGCACAAUAGCACAGUUAGUUUGCUUUGAAUGACUCUCACCUCUGGGCUGAACACAGCGUACUGUAAGUACAGGUUUCCUCUGUUUCU